rnacentral:rRNA from 1 species
GCAGUCGAGCGGAACGAUCCUAGCUUGCUAGGAGGCGUCGAGCGGCGGACGGGUGAGUAACGCGUGAGAAUCUACCCAUGAGUGGGGGACAACCCGGGGAAACUCGGGCUAAUACCGCAUACGCCCUACGGGGUAAAGCAGGGGACCUUCGGGCCUUGCGCUGAUGGAUGAGCUCGCGUCGGAUUAGCUUGUUGGUGAGGUAAAGGCUCACCAAGGCGACGAUCCGUAGCUGGUCUGAGAGGAUGAUCAGCCACACCGGGACUGAGACACGGCCCGGACUCCUACGGGAGGCAGCAGUGGGGAAUCUUGGACAAUGGGGGCAACCCUGAUCCAGCCAUGCCGCGUGUGUGAAGAAGGCCUUCGGGUUGUAAAGCACUUUCAGCAGGGAGGAAGGCUUACCCCUAAUACGGGUGAGUACUUGACGUUACCUGCAGAAGAAGCACCGGCUAAUUUCGUGCCAGCAGCCGCGGUAAUACGAAAGGUGCAAGCGUUAAUCGGAAUUACUGGGCGUAAAGCGCGCGUAGGCGGUGUGUUAAGUCGGAUGUGAAAGCCCAGGGCUCAACCUUGGAAUUGCAUCCGAUACUGGCACGCUAGAGUGCAGUAGAGGGAGGUGGAAUUUCCGGUGUAGCGGUGAAAUGCGUAGAGAUCGGAAGGGAACACCAGUGGCGAAAGCGGUCUCCUGGACUGACACUGACGCUGAGGUGCGAAAGCGUGGGGAGCAAA